GAGGAACAAUAUAAUAUUUGCUGUGGACAAAUGAUGACAAAACAAUUAAUGAAGAGAAAUUAUGAGUCCAUGCAUGCCUGGAAUCAGAAAGUUUUAAAAAUAGAUCCAAUAGAUUUGGGGAAUCCAAUUUUUUCUUAUGUAAUACAAUGGAAAAGUAAUAUAGAUAAUUUAGUAAAAAGAAGAAAGUUUAACCCAAAAGAUUAUUGUGAGCUUUACGGUUAUAAAUCAAAUAAUAUGGAAUUAGGUAAGGA